UUUGUGAUGUCAGUUCUUGCUGAACCAUCUCUUUUGCAAUUUGGACACUUUGCAUCAUUUCUUCCUUGGCUUUAAUUCGUGCCUCUUCAAUUUCUGAUUCAAGCUGUGCUCUCUGUGCAAUCAGCAGCUCAUUCUUGGCAAAUUCGAAGUCUUUCGGACCAUCGUGCAAAAGCGUAGUUCCACAAGACAGCCCUUUCACCUUCUGAACCUCCACUGGGUGAUUAAACCUGAAG
rnacentral:lncRNA from 1 species